GGCGACAGGCAGAAGCCGAGGGCGAGGAGCCUCACCGCGGCGCCAGCCGGGAAAAGGGGAGGGGCAGCAACGGCAGCGCGAGGCGGGGAGGCGGGGCGGUGACGUCAGCGCGGCCGCCGGGGAGUGGUGUGGCUAAGUGGCCGUUGGAGGGGGUUCCCCGAGCUGCUGCCGGGCGGCCGGGGCCGGGACUCCCGUGUCCUUCCCCUUUGGGCCCCAAGGCCCCGGGUGUCCUGGAGCCGCGGGUCUUUGUGCGGUAUCGCAACCCCCUUGAGAGACUCGGGCGCCUCCUGCAGGCGCCCCGGCCGCAGGCUGAGCGGCAGCAGGCAAUUUUUUAGAGCAGUUGUAGGUUCACAGCAAAAUGAAAAGGAAAGUACAAAGACUUCUGUAUACCCACUGGCCCCACACGUGCACAGCCUCAUCUGUUAUCAACAUUCCUCACCAGCCUGGUACAUUUGUUACAAUGGCUGAACCUACAUGGACACAUAAUCACGACCCAAAUCCCACUGCCUCAUGAAGUCUUCUACUUCCACUCACCAUCAUCUCUUUUCCUUUUGUGAAAUUCUUUCCACCGAGGGUCAGCACUACUUUGUAGCUGAGCAUUUCAUUGUUUUCUUGUUAAUUCUUUCUUUUUUCAUUUUUUUUCUUUGGCCUGCCACACGGCUUGCAGGAUUCUAGUUCCCAAGUGAAA